rnacentral:lncRNA from 1 species
AUAUAUGUGGACAUUUACUGCUGGAAGUUUGAAGUUUGACGAGUCUAAAACAGCAUGUAAUCAUACUUCUUACUAAUGAAUUCAGGUCAAAGAGUUCCACCUGGUAAAAUGGUCGAACUAAUGGGAUUUGUCAAGCAGAUGAAGUAACCUUGUCUCGGAUUAUGCAUCAGUGUCCAACGACAGGUGAAUUAAUAAUUUGCUAUGAACUUGAUGAAUAUUGAGACUUGGACAGGAUUUGCAUUGAAUAGGAGAGUUAAAGGGCUCAAGCUAGACUUGACUCCACUUUGGCGAGGCAUCAGCUGGCCUUACACUCUUACAGCUCGGUUUCUUUGUAAUCAGUCCACAUCCCGUAAGAGCUUCUCCAGUUGACUGGUAUGCAAGAGAGACCAAGAGAAGUUGUAGACUAAAUUUUUAUCUAGUUGUCCAUUUUUUGAGAUGCUAUGUUCAAGAAGCUCACCAAUCUUGGCUGACUUCUGGCCCUUCAUUGAAGCUGAAACGCCAGGAGAUACAAAGCUUGUUCCACUUUGGAAUGGAUUGAGGUAUCUGCGAUAAAUCUUGUUUCAUUUGAAAAUUGGAGAAAAGACAAACACUCUUCUUCGCAAACAUUGCCAGCAUUUGCAGAGCAUCUUUUGAGGACUGGUAUGGUGGCUUUUCCUCUACUAUCUCUAGUUAUGUCCCACAAUGGUAGAAUAUCUUACAUUAAUAUUCACUCCAACAUUAUGUUUAUGUAAAAACACAUUAAGUUCAGUUUUAUUUUUUAUCUUUCACAAUUUUCUUUCAAAUAAUAUUUAAUUUCAUUGUUGAUUUGUCCAGGACUAUAUAUAAACACCAGCUAUGGCGCCUGUCCAAAGUUUCGUAAUCCCAGACAAUCAUUCUCCCAUUAUCAAUAAAAUUCUCUUUUUCUUCAAUUAUCGUAGUUAUCAUUUUUAUAAAUGAGGUUGAGUUGGUCAAAUCCAACUUUUUUUUAUAUUGAAACAACUUUUUUUUUAUUAAUUUAGGCUAGCAUGACGACCUGUGACACAUUAACGCAAGAAAUGUACAGGGAGGAUUGUGGCACUCAAAAUAUGAUGAAGAUUUCAUAUUAGCCAUAAACUUCCGAGAAAUUUUGUUGAAGAGAAUGUUUACAUUUUCCACCCAAAAAGAAAAAUUGUAUUAUAAUAAUUUUGACACCCCAUUUCUAAAAUUCUAAUUCCAGCCCCUGGAAAUGUAUAAAACUGCCGUCUUUUCACUUUGUUUAUUUGUGAAAAAAUAUUAUUUAUAAUGAAGAAUUUAUUGCAUAAGCAUGACAUUGGUGUGAUGGGGUGCGAGCUAUAACUAUCUCGUUUAAAGCAGUGCUGAAACUGAGAGUGUCCCUGUAGAACGUGAUGCCUGAAAGAGAUUGUUCAACCCGUACUUGUUUGGAAUCUCCCCCUCUCCCACCCUAAGCUAGAGUGACACUAGGCUUGAUGUUAUCACUUAGAUCUGGUUUGUUGUAAGCGGUAUAAUCAUGUUUUUUAUAAAUUUUAAUUUUUUUUUAUGUUUUUAGAUUGUUAUAAUAUAUUAAUGUUAAAAAUA